rnacentral:ribozyme from 14 species
AAAAAAAAAAAAAAAGAGAAGAAGAAAAUGAGGAACAUAUCAUCAUUAUCAUUACAACACUGUUGUUGUUUCUCCCCUUCUUCUUCUUGUUGUGGAUAGAUUGAUAUUUAAAAAAUAAGGAAA